rnacentral:rRNA from 1 species
GACGAACGCUGGCGGCGUGCUUAACACAUGCAAGUCGAACGGAAAGGCCCUGCUUUUGUGGGGUGCUCGAGUGGCGAACGGGUGAGUAACACGUGAGUAACCUGCCCUUGACUUUGGGAUAACUUCAGGAAACUGGGGCUAAUACCGGAUAGGAGCUCCUGCUGCAUGGUGGGGGUUGGCAAGUUACGGCGGUUGGGGAUGGACUCGCGGCUUAUCCGCUUGAUGGUGGGGUAGUUGCUUACCAAGCCUUUGACGGGUAGCCGGCCUGAGAGGGUGACCGGCAACAUUGGGACUGAGAUACGGCCCAGAAUCCUACGGGAGGCAGCAGUGGGGAAUAUAGCACGAUGAGCGGAAGCCUGAUGCAGCAACGCCGCGUGCGGGAUGACGGCCUUCGGGUUGUAAACCGCUUUCGCCUGUGACGAAGCGUGAGUGACGGUAAUGGGUAAAGAAGCACCGGCUAACUACGUG